GCCCGGGGAAGGGACCCCUCACCUUGGUGACCCAGCCUGAGGGCUUGGGAGCGGCCGAGCUGCACCAGGGGAGCCCACGGGUGGCCUGUGCCUUCUUGGUGCCUGGCCUCAGGGCCUGUGCGGCAACAGCCCCAUGCAGGGCCCUGUGCUGUGUGGGGUUGGCACCUAAAAACCAGCCUCAGCCUUUCUCAGGCGGGAGCCUGGGCACUCACCUUGCCCCCUGCUUCAAUGGGCUGGUGAAAUGCUGGGGAUUUUCUCCUCCCAUACCCCGCCCAGCCUUGAGGAUUCUCUCUGCCUUUGGAAAGAAGAGAAAAUAUUGACAUCAAAUACAUUUAAUGAGAAAAGUGACCAGUCCUCUAUGUAAAGUGUAUCCAGGCAAUACUUCCAAAGGGGAGUAUUCACUCUGUGCGCUACCAAAAAUCCAGAGAUGUUCCAAGGCAACCCUGGAGAGCUAAGGAAAUCCCAGAAAUCCUGUAUCUCAAGCUUUUGGUGAGGAUAGAUAUGGCACUCAGUGUACGAUACAAUGAUAUUUUUCACAACCUGUGGUGAUGGUUUUGGAAGCAUUCUCACCACAUUGCAGCGUGAUGACCAGUUAACAUAGCAUGAUUAUGUUCUGAAACAAGUUUUGAUCCUAUUGUGCUGUGGAAGAUCAACACAGCAACUUGACAGAUAUGUUUAGCCCACAAUGGACAAGAUCAGCAAUCCUGCCUCUCAAUCUGAUAUAAUACUGAAUGCAGUUCCUGACUAGCAUAUAUAAUCUGCUGCAGUGGUUCUCAACAUGGGAGUACUCAGAAGUUUUUCAGGGGUACAUCAACUCAUCUAGAUAUUUGCCUAGUUUUACAUCAGACUACAUAAAAAGCACUAGCGAAGUCAGUACAAACUAAAAUUUCAUACAGACAAUUACUGCUUAUACGGCUCCAUAUACUAUACAAUGAAAUAGUCUCAUGAUGUUUGCAUCACGGUUCUGUGGCAUUGAGUAGCCAUGUCGGCAUCACACUAUGGUGACAUUGCAUCAGCCCCUGAGAUAUUUAAGGGCUCUUAAUCAUAUAUUGGCUGCUGCUGUCGAAGACAGGAUGUUGGACAAAAUGGAUCACAGGUCUAAUCUAGUAUGACAAUUCAUGUGUGCCUGCAAGUAGUCCCUUUGCAGUCAGUCUUUCUGAAUCCAAGAUAUAGUUCCUGACCUGCUGAGCUCGCCCAAUAGAGACAUUCGAAGAGCAAUGGUCGCCUGACUUGGAAACUGUUUCCUGUAGCGGAUGGGGGAGAUAUUCAAAGCUGGUUCUCCUGACACUCUGAUUUCUAUGAAAACAUAUAGACAAUUGCCAUUUUAAAAAAAAAUCUCUUUGGUUUUAUACCAACUGUGCAAACACAGUGAUAAAUUCCUGUUGUUUUCAAGUUGACCUAGUGCUAUAACCAUGGAGAAAAAGAGAAGAUAUUUAUUUUCUUUAUUUUUUAGAUCUCUGUAAUGGCUUCUUAGCAAUAUCACAGCAAUAUGUACUGUUUGC